rnacentral:rRNA from 1 species
CAGCAGCCGCGGUAACACGAAGGGUGCAAGCGUUACUCGGAAUUACUGGGCGUAAAGCGUGCGUAGGUGGUGGUUUAAGUCCGUUGUGAAAGCCCUGGGCUCAACCUGGGAAUUGCAGUGGAUACUGGGUCACUAGAGUGUGGUAGAGGAUAGUGGAAUUUCCGGUGUAGCGGUGAAAUGCGUAGAGAUCGGGAGGAACAUCAGUGGCGAAGGCGGCCAUCUGGGACAACACUGACGCUGAGGCACGAAAGCGUGGGGAGCAAACAGGAUUAGAUACCCGCGUAGUCCCUGUCUCUUAUAC